rnacentral:misc_RNA from 3 species
CUUGAGCCUUAUCCGUGGUUUGAGAUUAUCUCAAACCACGGAUAAGGUUCGAU